GAGCUAAAAGAAGCCAAUUUUGGGGAAAGUGAAACUUUUAAUGACCCUCCACAUCACAACAAGUGAAGAAAAACAUUCAGAAUAAAGUACAGCACAUUGAGAUCUUGAAGAUCAAAUUUAAUUGAUUGCCAGGCUUAGAUCUAAGCUGAACUCCGCUCAGUGCAAACAUUCGAAAAUCCUCCCUUCUCAUCGUACGCCUGAGAAUCUGGUUAUAUGUUAUAGUCCUGCCUUAUGGACAUAGAUCCACCGUGUAAGCUUUGGUAAUGCAGCCUCUUU
rnacentral:lncRNA from 1 species